rnacentral:tRNA from 1 species
UCUGAUAUGGCAGAAAUUAUGCAAUGAAUUUAAGCUUCAUAGAUAAAGUUUUAACUUUUAUUAGAA